rnacentral:lncRNA from 1 species
GAGAACCCAGUCCCUACCAUGGGAAGUUGUGAAUAUGCCUCAACUAAAACAUAUCCAUACAAAAAAGUUGAGUCUUUUCAUAUCCCCACCUACAUCAGUAUUAAUUUCUGAGAGGGAGAAUCACUUACAAACGUUAACCGGAUUGAUGCCCUCAUCUUGUAACGAUGAGGUGUUUCUACGAAUUCCAAAUUUGAAGAAGUUGGGAAUUUUAAUUGUUGAUGAUUCAGACACUAUUCAGAAGUGUUAUUGUCUUGAUAAUCUUGUACAUUUAACUCAGCUUGAGAAGCUCAAAGUUGAGGUCAGCGAGAGUUAUCUGCUAAUUUUUAUGCGGAUUAGCGAAGGUUGGGUGGACAUUCCACAUUGUGACAAUUUCCCACCAAACCUUAAGAAGUUAACAUUAUGCAGAACACACCUACAAUGGGAAGACAUGAACAUUCUCAGAAAAUUACCUAAUCUUGAGGUGCUCAAACUUAAACAUCAUGCCUUUGACGGACUAACUUGGAUACUAAGCGAUGAAGACGAAGAUGGAUUCUUGAAGCUAAAGUUUUUACUUCUUGAGCACAUGCAUCUGAAGCAAUGGGAAGCAACAAGUUAUCAUUUUCCAAGCCUUGAGCAUUUAGUCCUAACAGAUUGCUAUUCAUUGGAGCAAAUUCCUUUAGACUUUGCAGAGAUUCAAAUACUACAGCUGAUUGAACUACACAAAUGUAUGCUUUCUGUUCUUAUUUCAGCAGAGCAAAUACAAGAGGAGCAACAAAGCUUGGGAAAUGAUGACCUUGUUAUUCGUGUGAACUAUAUACGUGAGUAAACAUUAAUAAAGAAGUUACACAUUUUCAUCUAGAAAAGCAUAAAAAAUCAUUUUCGUUCUUCCUAAUAUAUGUGUGUUCAUUUUUUCAUUUAUUUAUACUAUAAAAGGUGCUAAUUACAAUUGGUUUGCAAGAGUUGAUCAAGGCAUUGCAAAAGAGAAGUCACAACAGCAUAUGCCGCCAAUCGCUGUUUGUUUCUUACCAAAACAUGGUAGAUUAGGGAGUUCUGAGUUCUUGAUCAAGAUGCCCAAACUAAAGUCAAUUCACUAAGCAUUUUCUUUAGAAAGAAAAGAAGUGUACAAAAUGUUUUUUUAUAAGAUUCAAGUUGGAAUAAACAACACAUUAUAGUCAAACUGAGAAAUGGUAUACAAUAUUGAAUUUUCAACUUCACAGAUAAAAUCACUGUUAAAUUUGUCUAGGGUUGUCAAAAUCAAACCCAACCCGUUUAAGUUUGGGCGGGUUAUUGACCCCCCCAUUCAUUAGCUUAACCCAUUAAAAAUUGACUUGAUAUGUAACCCGAAUUGGCUCAUGAGAAAUCUUGUCAAAAUAUUUUUAAAGAACUUUUUAUUCAAUUUGAUAGGUUAUAUAUAGCCAUAAUAGAAUAAAAUAAUUUUAUUAGGUACUAAAAUAGUUUAAAAGAACAAAUAAAUUCAUUAAGCUUAGUAAAAAUUGAGUUGGGUUGAUCUUGACCCGUUACCUAAUCCGUUUUGGCCCGUGCAAAUUUGAGUUGGGUUGAUAUUUAAUUCAUUACCCAAAUUCGAACCAACCCACUCAAUUGCCAUCCCUAAAUUUGUCUUACCUUUCCCUCCCCAAUUACCUCUUUAAAAAUUGGCACAAAUGAAGAAAGUGCAUUGACCCAAAUGAGGAAAUCAGUUGAAAAGCUUGGAUCUUACACUGAAGUAAGAAAAAAUGAGUUCCCUUUUCCUCUUUUAGUGUAAAGUUCAAAUCUUUGUACUGGUAAUCAGUUUUUUUUUUCUUUUGCAGAGUUAUGGAGAGCAACACUUAUGAGGUUCUUGAUUGCAAGAGUAAUUUCGUUCCCCUCAUAGUAAAGUUUCCUUUUUUUUCUCAAUACAUUGCAUUUUUGUUGUUGUUGAUCUUGUUUGUGCUUAGUUAUUUAUUUCAUAAUGUCACCCUUUUCUUGAUUCCAAUUUUUUUUGACAAAGAAAGUCACUUUAUGAAAUAAUAAUUAUUAGUUGAAUGACCAUCUUAGAAAUGAACUCGUUUUUCUAUAAGAAAUAUUCUUGUUGGUUCACUCAAUGAUGCCUUUUCAUCUUUUAUUAUCUUUAAUUUAGUCACUGUUAUGAAGUUUCAAAUUUCACAGAUCAAACUCCAGGAUAUUGUCAUGGAGUAAAAGUAACUUGUAGAAUUUGAAAUUACCUUACAAUAGUUAUUUUUCAAAGAUAUGACCGAAAAAAGGACUUUUCUCCAGUAUGAAUGCAGUUUGGACAAGUUGUAUGACUUUGGGCCUCAUUUGACAAACUAUUCCAAUUUGCUUUUUUGAACAAGUCUUAUAUACCAUUUAAGUCUCAAUGAACAAAUCCAACUAUGUGACUUAUCUUUACAUAGCCUAAAAGUCUUGAAUUCCCAUCCAUUACAUUGGCUUUGGCCUUUGGGCAUCUAAAUCAAGAACGCAGAACUUCCUAGUAUUCCACAUUCAUCCUACUGUCCUAUUUAGUAAGAAACUAACAAACAGCGAUAUGGCGGCGUAUGCUGCUGUGACUUCACUUUUGCAUACCCUGGAUAAUCUAUCUCAAACUCAUACAUCACAUUCUCUUCUUUACAAAAAAGAGCAAACUGAAGUCCUCAGUGACAAGUACACCUUCCUUAAAACCUUUCUUGAGGAUUUUACUAAUAUUUUCCAUGAAGAUAUAAAGAUGAAGCAUCUCGAAAGGAUGAUCCAAGAAGCUGCUAAUGGAGUGGAAGAUACCAUCGACUCACAUGUAUAUGAUAGCUCUGUCGUAGUGCAAAGCAAGCGAGUACGAAGAAAGGCUGAUAUGAUCUUUCAUCAAAACUUGGAAUAUGCAAUUGAGGAAAUUGAUUUGAUACAAAGAGAGGUUAUUGAAAAGAUAAAGGUCAACAAGUUCAACAGCAAAAUCUCUCAUUCAAGAGAAACUUCAUCUCAGAUUCCUAUGGAUCAAAAAGAUAUAAUCGUUGGACUAGAUGAAGAUUUACUAAAGAAUAAAAGAUCGACUCAUCGUGCAAUCAUCAAGCCUCGAAGUUGUCCCCAUUAUAGGGAUGGGUGGUAUUGGCAAGACCACACUGGCUAGAAGAGUUUAUGAUGAUUCCUUGAUUGCAUACCAUUUUUAUGUUCGAGCAUGGACAAAUGUAUCUCAAGAAUUUGACACUAGAGAAAUUUUUCUUGGUAUUCUUUGCUCCAUCAACGAUGAAGUAGAAAGAAACAGUACUACUGAGCAAUUGGCUGAAAGAGUUUAUCGAAGUUUAAAAGGGAGGAAGUAUCUCAUUAUCCUUGAUGAUAUGUGGUCUAUCGAUGCUUGGCAGCAUGUUAGGAGAUCAUUUCCGGAUGAUCAUAAUGGAAGUCGAAUCGUGUUGACCACGAGGCUUGUAGAUGUUGCAUCUUGUGCUAGUUCUGGCAAUUCCCUUCACCAGAUGCGUUUUCUGAGCAUGGAGGAAAGCUGGACUCUUUUACGCGAGAAGGUCUUUGGGAACGGUAGUUACCCUCCGGAAUUGGAGAAAAUUGGGAGAUACAUUGUCCAUCAGUGUCAAGGGUUGCCACUUGCAGUUGUUGCAACUGGUGGACUACUUUCCAAGAUGAGCAAGGAAACAAGUUCUUGGGAAAAUGUUGCAGAAAAGGUAGGAUCACUCAUGACAAGUGACACUAUGGAUUGCUUGAACAUACUCUCUUUGAGCUACAACCACUUGCCUCAAUACUUGAAAACAUGCUUCCUUUAUAUGGGAGUUUUGCUAGAAACUCGUGAGAUCCCGGUCUGGAAGUUAAUAAGGUUAUGGAUUGCUGAGGGGUUCGUCAAGAAAGUUCAACAUGAAAAUCUAGAAGAUGUGGCGGAGGAAAAAUUUGAGGGAGUUGGUUGAUAGAAGUUUGGUUUGGUGGGGAAGCAUACUUCCCUAGGAAAAAUCAAGACUUGUAAGAUGCAUGAUCUCGUUCGAGAUAUGUGUUUGAGAGAAGCCCAAUAUGAGAAUUUUAUACACUUCAAAACGAGGUAUUACCAAGAUGAUCUUCUAGAAAACAUUAAUUGUCUACGUCGUAUAGUUGAUUUCCAUAAGUAUACAGACAGUGGACUUUCUAAACUUAUGCCACUCACACGUUCUGUUUUCUUCAAAUAUCCAUACUUUUUUUGUUUCCUCUCACAGUCAAGCUUUAGAUUACUUAGGAUAUUAGAUGUUUGCUUUACUUCUUCUUUGUUCUGUGGUCAGUCCAUAUCAGAACUUGUUCAUUUGAGGUAUCUUGCUUGUCCGUCCUUCAAUGGUCUUAUGCAAUCACUAUGCAAGAUACGGAAUAUACAGAACUUAGUUAUUCAUGAUUUAUGUCCAUCUGGUUUAAGUAUGCGAACCCAGUUCCUACCAUGGGAAGUUGUGAAUAUGCCUCAACUAAGACAUAUCCAUACAAAAAAGUUUAGUCUUUUCAUACCCCCACCUACAUCACUAAUUGCUAAGAGGGAGAAUCAUUUACAAACGUUAACCGGAUUGAUGCCCUCAUCUUGUAAUGAAGAGGUGUUUCUAAGAAUUCCAAAUUUGAAGAAGUUGGGAAUAUUAAUUGUUGAUGAUUCAGACACUAUUCAGAAGUGUUAUUGUCUUGAUAAUCUUGUACAUUUAUCUCAGCUUGAGAAGCUCAAAGUUCAGUUCAGAGAGAGUUAUAUGCUAAUUUUCAGGUGGAUGAGCGAAGAUUGGAUGGACCUUUCUUCGCUACACAUUCCACAUUGUGACAAUUUCCCACCAAACCUUAAGAAGUUAACAUUGUGCAGAACACACAUACAAUGGGAAGACAUGAACAUUCUUAGAAAAUUACCUAAUCUUGAGGUGCUCAAACUUAAACAUCAUGCCUUUCUCGGACUAAUUUGGAAACUAAGCGAUGAAGAUGAAGAUGGAUUCUUGAAGCUAAAGUUUUUACUUCUUGAGAACAUGAAUCUGAUGCAAUGGGAAGCAACAAGUUAUCAUUUCCCAAACCUUGAGCACUUGGUUCUAACAGAUUGCUAUUUGUUGGAGCAAAUGCCUUUUGACUUUGCAGAGAUUCAGACACUACAGCUGAUUGAACUACACAAAUGUAAGUGUUCUGUUCUUGUUUCAGCAGAGCAAAUACAAGAGGAGCAACAAAGCUUGGGAAAUGAUGACCUCGUUAUUCAUGUGAACUAUAUACGUGAGUAAACAUUAAUCAAAAAAGGUAUACAUUUCUUAAAAGCAUAAAGAUUUUACUUGCUUCUUUUGUUUACAAUAAUGUUUUAUCAUUUUGAAUAUGUUGACUUUUAGUCAAUUUUAUUUUUUCUUUAGUUCAAAACAAUAUAAUAAAAGAGUUUAUGAUGAUUCCUUGAUUGCAUACCAUUUUUAUGUUCGAGCAUGGACAAAUGUAUCUCAAGAAUUUGACACUAGAGAAAUUUUUCUUGGUAUUCUUCGCUCCAUUGGCGUGGUCAACGAUGAAGUAGAAAGAAACAGUACUAAUGAGCAAUUGGCUGAAAGAGUUUAUCGAAGUUUAAAAGGGAGGAAGUAUCUCAUUAUCCUAGAUGAUAUGUGGUCCAUCGAGGCUUGGAAGCAUGUGAGGAGACUAUUUCCGGAUGAUCAUAAUGGAAGUCGAAUCGUGUUAACCACGAGGCUUGUAGAUGUUGCAUCUUGUGCUUGCUCUGGCAAUUCCCUUCACCAGAUGCGCUUUCUGAGUGUGGCGGAAAGCUGGACUGUAACAUCCGGCAAUUUGAAAUAACUAUGAAGAAGCUUGGAAUUGGAAAUAGUCAUUUUUGGAAAGACUUUUAAAAAAAUCUGGAAAAUUUGGUUGUUAAGUAUGGGUAAAAGGUGAGUUUUUGGCCAACUUUGAACAGUCAUAACGUCUAGCUCAAGAUGAGUUAGGUGUAGUUCCAGUUAUGUUUACAAAGCUCGUGGAAUGAUCUUUCCAACGCCAUCGAGUUUUCUCGAUUCUGAGUUCGUAUGAGUGAGUUAUGCCCUUUGGAAAUUGGGCAGUUGGCAGGGAAGUCCGUCCGGAAAUUUUAAGGGUAUUUUGGUCUUUUCCCUAACCAAUUCUUUUGGAUAUAUUAAGGUGUUAGACUGAUUUUAGAUCAGUUUUUCCCUUUUUGAAAGAGUGAGAGUGAGGGUUUGUGAGUAAAGAGGAAAAGAAGGGGAGAAAGAGAAGAUCAAGCAAGGUUUCGUCAAAGAUCGUCGUGGAUAUUGUCGGGGGUGAUCCCUACUAGGUAUGUGAGAUCAUAGUGUUUGGUUGGUUCAUUCCCCCACACGCCAAAUUCGUUUUAAUAUCCGAGAAAAGAUUUGGUUGUGUUUAUUGAAGUCUUGUGGUUGUGGUUGGUGAGGUUGUGGUUGUGUUAUUGAAGUUCUUGUGGAUUUGAGACAUGUUUUAGGUUGUGUUUUCGAGUUGAAUCUAUUGUGUAUUAAGGGGUUUUAAUGAUCCCAAGUGUUUGGGGAAGGAACCUUUGAAGUUAAGAGGGUUUAGAGUUGGUAACAUGAAGGAGAAAAGUCGGGCAGCUUGCAUGAAACAAGUCUGCGUCGCAGACUUGUUCCCUCUGUGAACAAAUCUGCUCCGCGUCGCGGACAGGACGCGGACUUCACUGUUUCAAAAAUUUAAUUUCGUAAUUUUUCUUAAGUUUAGCUGUCCUAAAUCAUUCCUAAACAUCAUGAGGUCUUUCCAAACACAAAUCAUGAAUCCUUGAAUCCAUAAUUCAAUUCAAGAAAGUUAGGAUCAAAGUCAAGUGAAGUUAAGAGUCAAGUCUAAAAGUUAAGAAGCAAGUCUUUAAAGCUUUUCAAGAGUCUUUAUUAAACGUUUUAACUUCGUUUUAAGGCUCAAGUUUCAAGUUAAGUAAAGUGUAUAGAGUUUCAAGUUAAGUAAAGAGUAUAGAGUGUCAAGUCAAGUAAAGAGUAAGAACAAUGUAGCCAAACAUGGGACUUAACGGGUUAUUCUUUUUAGAUGAUCACGUAAGAUUAAGCUAGUGGAUUCACUAAGUAAAGUAAGGUCCUAUAUCACGGAAAAGUAUAGGAUGGUCCUUGGGCAACGUGAGGUAAAACGUUGUAUCAUCACUAGGGCUCAUAGUGGUGGUUGUCGGUUAAAGAAUCUCCCACAAAAGUUAUAUUAACUUUUAUAUAAGUAAAGUUGAGUUGUUAUUGCUUUAUCCUUAACGAACUAAGUUGUUUACACUGUUUUGCAAGCUUUAUAUAUAUUGCGUGUGUCUUAUUGCUUUAUAUUGAGUUCGGUUAUUCAUGAGUUGAAUAGAGCCAAGGUAAGUGUUCUCUUGUACUCCUUUCAAGCUUAAGUUGUUGUUUAGCUUUCCAGCUCGCAUACUCGUACAUUAAAUGUACUGAUGCCAGUUGACAUGUAUCUUAUUAUGAUGCAGACACAGGUACCCAGGAUCAGCAUUCGGCACACCGUUGAUCCAGCCGAGCACUUCCGAGUCAGUGGUGAGCCUCUUUGCAUUCCGGAGUACUCAGUUAUUUUGUUCUCUUAGUUUGUUUUAUUAGGAUGUUCCGGGGUCUGUCCCAACAUCCAUCUCAGUGUUAUAGAGGCUUCAUAGACAGUCAGUCAGUUAGUAUUGAGUCUCUCAUCUAUGUAUAUAUGUAAAUAUUCUAUUUUGAGACUCGAGUUGCCUUUUUGGGCCAGAUUUUAUCAGUUAAGUUGUUUUAUGUCCUUGCAUUGCAUGGAGUUAUUCUGUUGAGUUAGGUUUCCGCUGAGUUAAGAAAGUCAGGCCAAAGGUUCGCUUGGGGCCAACAAUGGUCUUCGAGUGCCAGCCAUGUCCAGGGUAUAGGCUCGGGGCAUGGCAAUCUUUUACGCGAUAAGGUCUUUGGGAACGGUAGGUACCCUCCGGAAUUGGAGAAAAUUGGGAGGUACAUUGGCCACCAGUGUCAAGGGUUGCCACUUGCAAUUGUUGCAAUUGGUGGACUACUUUCCAAGAUGAGCAAGGAAACAAGUUCUUGGGAGAACGUUGCAGAAAAGGUAGGAUCACUUAUGACCAGUGACACUAUGGAUUGCUUGAACAUACUUUCUUUGAGCUACAACCACUUGCCUCAGUACUUGAAAACAAACAUGCUUCCUUUAUAUGGGAGUUUUUGCAGAAACUCAUGAGAUUCCGGUCUGGAAGUUAAUAAAGUUAUGGAUUGCUGAGGGAUUCGUCAAGAAAGUUUAUCAUAAAAAUCUUGAAGAUGUGGCAGAGGAAAAUUUGAGGGAGUUAGUUGAUAGAAGUUUGGUUUUGGUGGGGAAGCAUAGCUCCCUAGGUUUUAUCAAGACUUGUAAAAUGCAUGAUCUCGUUCGAGAUAUGUGUUUGAGAGAAGCCCAAUAUGAGAAUUUUAUUCACUUCAAAACAAGGUAUGACAACGAUGAUCUUCUAGAAAACUUUAAUUGUCUACGUCGUGUAGUUGAUUUCAAUAAAUAUGGAUACAGUGAAAUUCCUAAACUUAUGCCACUCACACGUUCUGUUUUCUUCAAAUAUCCACACUUUUUUUGUUUCCUCUCACAGUCAAGCUUUAGAUUACUUAGGAUAUUAGAUGUUUGCUUUACAUCUUUUUUGUACUGUAGUCAAUCCAUAUCAGAACUUGUUCAUUUGAAGUAUCUUGCUUGUCCGUCCUUUGAUGGUCUUGUGCAAUCAGUAUGUAAGCUACGGAAUAUACAGAACUUAGUUAUUCAUGAUUUAAAUUUAUCUGGUUUACAUAUGAGAACCCAGUCCCUACCAUGGGAAGUUGUGAAUAUGCCUCAACUAAGACAUAUCCAUACAAAAAAGUUCAGUCUUUUCAUACCCCCACCUACAUCACUAAUUGCUGAGAGGGAGAAUCACUUGCAAACGUUAACCGGAUUGGAGCCCUCAUCUUGUAACGAUGAGGUGUUUCUAAGAAUUCCAAAUUUGAAGAAGUUGGGAAUAUUAAUUGUUGAUUCAGACACUAUUAGGAAGUGUUAUUGUCUUGAUAAUCUUGUACAUUUAACUCAGCUUGAGAAGCUCAAAGUUGAGUUCAGCGAGAGUUAUCUGCUAAUUUUUAGGCGGAUUAGCGAAGGUUGGGUGGACCUUUCUUGGCUACACAUUCCACAUUGUGACAAUUUCCCACCAAACCUUAAGAAGUUAACAUUGUGCGGAACUUACCUACAAUGGGAAGACAUGAACAUUCUCAAAAAAUUACCUAAUCUUGAGGUGCUCAAACUUAAACAUCAUGCCUUUCACGGACUAAUUUGGAAACUAAGCGAUGAAGAUGAAGAUGGAUUCUUUCAGUUAAAGUUUUUACUUCUUGAGAGCUUGCAUCUGAAGCAAUGGGAAGCAACAAGUUAUCAUUUUCCAAGCCUUGAGCACUUAGUCCUAACAGAUUGCUAUUCAUUGGAGCAAAUUCCUUUCGACUUUGCAGAGAUUCAAACACUACAGCUGAUUGAACUACACAAAUGCAUGCUUUCUGUUCUUGAUUUAGCAGAGCAAAUACAAGAGGAGCAACAAAGUUUGGGAAAUGAUGACCUUGUUAUUCGUGUGAACUAUAUACGUGAGUAACAUUAAUAAAAAAGGUAUACAUUUUUUAAAAGCAUAAAGAUUUUUUUUCCUGAAUUUUUCUUACAUAGCUCUUAUCUUGGAUAACUUUUUCUAUCUUAUAAAAGUUAGUGUGCAGUACAAAAUAUUAAUUUGAUUAGCUAGAUUCUUUCGAAAUCUGAAAUUGAUUCUUAUAUUCAUCAUUUUUAUUUAUUUAUACUAUAAAAGGUGCUAAUUACAAUAGGUUUUGUGCAUUGCAGACAAAAAACUUAGUUGAUGGAGAGUGCCAUAAGAUAUACUCAAGCAUAAAUAAGUUGAUCACUCUUUGCAGUAGUUGAUCUUACCUUUCAGUGUAUUUCGAUUUCCUUUUUCCAGUUCAACUUGUUUGGGACUGAGGCUUAGUUUAGUGAAUUGUAUAUCUAGAUAUAAUUCAAAUAUAAUGCAUUUACUUUGGAAUGUGUAUGUAUUUGAACGUACUUCUCUUAGUUGCUUGUACCACCAUGUUGAAUCAAUAUAUUUAUUUGCAGGCAUUGUCCAAAAACAGGCACCUUGUUAUUAUAGUUAAAGUUAGCAAGCAUUUUCCUUCCAAGGAUCAAGUUCAAUUAUUCUGAGCAUGUUCAAUGGAUAACAGGGAUGGAAUAGAGGUUGAAUGGUAGGAGACAGUAUGCUUAGAGAGAAAGAAGGGUGUGAACUUUUUGUACGUCAUUUGCCUACUUUUUUUGAAACAUUCCCAGUCGUUUUGGUAGAUGAUGAUUGAAUUGUUAGACCCGAUGUUCCUUUUAUUAGGUGAGAAUCAGAGUUUAGUGUUGAACACGUAGGUGUAAUCAUUGAGUUCUACUGCUGUGAAGUGGGUGAAAUUUUCGAAUUAUAUCGUGCUACUUUGAAAACCUAUGGUGUUUCUUCAUAGCAGUCAAAAGGGUUGAUUUACUUUUGGCCUUUGGGCAUGCUUCGUUUGCUUUGCUCUUCUUCUUCAGACACAUUUGGCAUGACACUAGAACCUUGUUUGUGUUUUUUCUUAGGGUUGAUUUAUCAGAUAAUCACUCCAUUAAUAGUUAUUAUCUCAAAAAGUCACAAUUCUUCUUUUUUCCAAAUUUUUUUCUACAAAGAAAGUGACUUUCUGAGAUAAUAACUAUUAAUCGAGUGACCAUAUGAGAAAUCAACUCGUUUUUCUUUUAAGAAAUAUUCUUGUUGGUUCACUCAAUGAUGCCUUUUUAUCUUUUAUCAUCUUGCUAAUGGGACAUUGGACAAGUCUUUAAUUUAGACAAUCUUGUAGUUAGUUGCUAUGAAGUUUCAAAUUCCAUAGCAGAAACUCCAGUAUAUUGUCAUGGAGUAAAACUUGUAAAAACAACAACAUACCUAGUGUAGUAUCAUAAGUGAAGUCUAGGGAGGAUAAGAUGUACACAGACCAUAUCCCUACCUUUGUAGUGUAGAGACGGAGUUUGUUUCCGAUAGGCCCUCGACUCAACAAUAAAGAAAAGAACUUGAAGCAUGGUAGCAAGAAAAUAUGACAGAAAAAAAAGUAAGAUACAGAUCAAAUGAAGCAACAAAUAGUAAUACACAUCGAAGAAAAAGAAACAAAGUGCAACAAUACUUGGCUACCUACUAACCUUCUAAUCUAAUCCUCAACUUUCACUCCUUCCUAUCUAGGGUCAUAUCCGAAAUAAAACUUGUAGAUUUUGAAAUUACAUGACUAUAGUUAUUUUUCGAAGAUAUGUCCGAAAAGCGGCUCUCUAGUAUGAAUGUAGUUUGGGCAAGUUGUAUGACUUUGGGUGUCUGACAAACUAUUCCAACUUGCUUUUUGGUACAAGUCUUAAAUACAAUUUGAGUCUCAAUCUGACAAAUAAUUCAAUGAGCAAAACAAGAAUUCUCACUUCUACCUUCCACCAACCCCACCAUUACUCUCUUGGAGAGAAACAGACACAAAGAGAAGACUUCUCUUUACAAAGCCUUAAAAGUCUUGCAUUCCCAUCCAUUACAUUGCCUUCUUCUUUCAUAAAGAAUUGGUUUUGAGAAUCUAAAUCAACAACUCAGAACUUCCUCCUACUGUCCUGUUUAGCAAGAAACUAACAAACAGCGAUAUGGCGGCGUAUGCUGCUGUGAAUUCACUUUUGCAUACGCUGGAUAAUCUAUCUCAAACUCAUACAUCACAUUCUCUUCUUUACAAAAAAAAGCAAACUGAAGUCCUCAGUGACAAGUACACCUUCCUUAAAACCUUUCUUGAGGAUUUUACUAAUAUUUUCCAUGAAGAUGUAAAGAUGAAGCAUCUCGAAAGGAUAAUCCAAGAAGCUGCUAAUGGAGUGGAAGAUACUAUUGACUCACAUGUAUAUGAUAGCUCUGCCUUAGUACAAAGCAAGCGAGUACGAAGAAAGGCUUAUACGAUCUUUCAUCAAAACUUGGAAUAUGCAAUUGAGGAAAUUGGUUUGAUACAAAAAGAGGUUAUGAAAAAGAUAAAGGUCAACAAGUUCAACAGCAAAAUCUCUCAUUCAAGAGAUACUUCAUCUCAGAUCCCUAUGGAUCAAAAAGAUGUAAUCAUUGGACUGGAUGAAGACUUGCUAAAGAUAAAAGAUCGACUCAUCGUGCAAUCAUCAAGACUCGAAGUUGUCCCCAUUAUAGGGAUGGGUGGUAUUGGCAAGACCACACUGGCUAGAAGAGUUUAUGAUGAUUCCUUGAUUGCAUACCAUUUUUAUGUNNNNNNNNNNNNNNNNNNNNNNNNNNNNNNNNNNNNNNNNNNNNNNNNNNNNNNNNNNNNNNNNNNNNNNNNNNNNNNNNNNNNNNNNNNNNNNNNNNNNNNNNNNNNNNNNNNNNNNNNNNNNNNNNNNNNNNNNNNNNNNNNNNNNNNNNNNNNNNNNNNNNNNNNNNNNAAAGAAACAGUACUACUGAGCAAUUGGCUGAAAGAGUUUAUCGAAAUUUAAAAGGGAGGAAGUAUCUUAUUGUCCUAGAUGAUAUGUGGUCUAUCAAGGCUUGGCAGCAUGUGAGGAGAUCAUUUCCAGAUGAUCGUAAUGGAAGUCGAAUCGUGUUGACCACAAGGCUUGUAGAUGUUGCAUCUUGUGUUUGCUCUGGCAAUUCCCUUCACCAGAUGCGUUUUCUGAGCAUGGAGGAAAGCUGGGAUCUUUUAAGCGGUAAGGUCUUUGGGAAUGGUAGUUACCCUCCGGACAAAAUCUCACAUUCAAGAGAUACUUCCUCACUGCUCCCUUUGUAUCAAAAAGAUAUAAUCGUUGGACUGGAUGAAGACUUGCUGAAGAUAAAAGAACGACUCACCGUGCAAUCGUCAAGACUCGAAGUUGUCCCCAUUAUAGGGAUGGGUGGUAUUGGCAAGACCACACUGGCUAGAAGAGUUUAUGAUGAUUCCUUGAUUGCAUACCAUUUUUAUGUCCGAGCAUGGGCAAAUGUAUCUCAAGAAUUUGACACUAGAGAAAUUUUUCUUGGUAUUCUUCGCUCCAUUGGCAUGGUCAACGAUGAAGAAGAAAGAAACAGUACUACUGAGCAAUUGGCUGAAAGAGNNNNNNNNNNNNNNGUCAACGAUGAAGUAGAAAGAAACAGUACUAAUGAGCAAUUGGCUGAAAGAGUUUAUCGAAGUUUAAAAGGGAUGAAGUAUCUUAUUGUCCUAGAUGAUAUGUGGUCCAUCAAGGCUUGGCAGCAUGUGAGGAGAUCAUUUCCAGAUGAUCGUAAUGGAAGUCGAAUCGUGUUGACCACAAGGCUUGUAGAUGUUGCAUCUUGUGUUUGCUCUGGCAAUUCCCUUCACCAGAUGCGUUUUCUGAGCAUGGAGGAAAGCUGGGAUCUUUUAAGCGGUAAGGUCUUUGGGAAUGGUAGUUACCCUCCGGAAUUGGAGAAAAUUGGGAGGUACAUUGGCCAUCAGUGUCAAGGGUUGCCACUUGCAGUUGUUGCAAUUGGUGGACUACUUUCCAAGAUGAGCAAGGAAACAAGUUCUUGGGAGAAUGUUGCAGAAAAGGUAGGAUCACUUAUGACAAGUGACACUAUGGAUUGCUUGAACAUACUUUCUUUGAGCUACAACCACUUGCCUCAGUACUUGAAAACAUGCUUCCUUUAUAUGGGAGUUUUUGCAGAAACUCGUGAGAUCCCGGUCUGGAAGUUAAUAAAGUUAUGGAUUGCUGAGGGCUUCGUCAAGAAAGUUAAUCAUAAAAAUCUAGAAGAUGUGGCAGAGGAAAAUUUGAGGGAGUUGGUUGAUAGAAGUUUGGUUUGGUGGGAAGCAUACUUCACUAGGAAAAAUCAAGACUUGUAAGAUGCAUGAUCUCGUUCGAGAUAUGUGUUUGAGAGAAGCCCAAUAUGAGAAUUUUAUACACUUCGAAACAAGGUAUAACCAUGAUGAUCUUCUAGAAAACAUUAAUUGUCUACGCCGUGUAGUUGAUUUCAAUAAGUAUAGAUACAGUUUUGAUAUUCCUAAACUUAUGCCACUCACACGUUCUCUUUUCUUGAAAUAUCCAUACUCUGUUUGUUCCCUCUCACAGUCAAGCUUUAGAUUACUUAGGAUAUUAGAUGUUUGCUUUACAUCUCGUUUGUACCGUAGUAUGUCCAUAACAGAACUUGUUCAUUUGAGGUAUCUUGCUUGUCCAUCCUUCAAUGGUCUUGUGCAAUCACUAUGCAAGCUACGGAAUAUACAGAACUUAGUUAUUCAGGAUUUACGUUCAUCUGGUUUACGUAGGAGAACCCAGUUCCUACCAUGGGAAGUUGUGAAUAUGCCUAAACUAAGACAUAUCCAUACAAAAAAGUUUAGUCUUUUCAUACCCCCUACAUCACUAAUUGCUGAGAGGGAGAAUCAUUUACAAACGUUAACCGGAUUGAUGCCCUCAUCUUGUAAUGAAGAGGUGUUUCUAAGAAUUCCAAAUUUGAAGAAGUUGGGAAUUUUAAUUGUUGAUGAUUCAGACACUAUUCAGAAGUGUUAUUGCCUUGAUAAUCUUGUACAUUUAACUCAGCUUGAGAAGCUCAAAGUUGAGGUCAGAGAGAGUUGGCUAAUUUUUAGGCCGACUAUCAAAGGUUGGGUGGACAUUCCACAUUGUGACAAUUUCCCACCAAACCUUAAGAAGUUAACAUUGUGCACAACACAC